GUCUGGCUGGCUCAGUUGGUGGAGCAUAUGACUUUUGAUCUUGGGGUUGUAAGUUUGAAUCCCAUGUUGGGUG
rfam:Felis catus isolate Cinnamon breed Abyssinian chromosome D4, whole genome shotgun sequence.